rnacentral:rRNA from 1 species
UACGGGGGGGGGUAAGCGUUGUUCGGAAUUACUGGGCGUAAAGGGCUCGUAGGCGGCCAACUAAGUCAGACGUGAAAUCCCUCAGCUUAACUGGGGAACUGCGUCUGAUACUGGAUGGCUUGGAUUCGGGAGAGGAAUGCGGAAUUCCAGGUGUAGCGGUGAAAUGCGCAGAUAUCAGGAGGAACACCGGUGGCGAAGGCGGUUCUCUGGGCAUGAUCUGACGCUGAGGAGCGAAAGUGUGGGGAGCGAACAGG